AGCCUUCUGUAUCUGUGCUGAGAUUUCGUCACACACCAGUCCACAAGGACUGAUGAGACUCCCAAGAGUGUCC
rnacentral:pre_miRNA from 1 species